rnacentral:rRNA from 1 species
AGCGAACGCUGGCGGCAGGCCUAACACAUGCAAGUCGAACGAACCUUUCGGGGUUAGUGGCGGACGGGUGAGUAACACGUGGGAACGUGCCUUUAGGUUCGGAAUAACUCAGGGAAACUUGUGCUAAUACGAAUGUGCCCUUCGGGGGAAAGAUUUAUCGCCUUUAGAGCGGCCCGCGUCUGAUUAGCUAGUUGGUUGAGGUAAUGGCUCACCAAGGCGACGAUCAGUAGCUGGUCUGAGAGGAUGAUCAGCCACAUUGGGACUGAGACACGGCCCAAACUCCUACGGGAGGCAGCAGUGGGGAAUCUUGCGCAAUGGGCGAAAGCCUGACGCAGCCAUGCCGCGUGAAUGAUGAAGGUCUUAGGAUUGUAAAAUUCUUUCACCGGGGACGAUAAUGACGGUACCCGGAGAAGAAGCCCCGGCUAACUUCGUG